rnacentral:rRNA from 1 species
UACGUAGGGUGCAAGCGUUAAUCGGAAUUACUGGGCGUAAAGCGUGCGCAGGCGGUUCGGAAAGAGAGGUGUGAAAUCCCAGGGCUUAACCUUGGAACUGCACUUCUAACUACCGGGCUAGAGUACGUCAGAGGGGGGUAGAAUUCCACGUGUAGCAGUGAAAUGCGUAGAGAUGUGGAGGAAUACCGAUGGCGAAGGCAGCCCCCUGGGAUGAUACUGACGCUCAUGCAUGAAAGCGUGGGGAGCAAACAGG